CACACUGGUAAAUCGUCUCGGUUGGCUAAAAAAUCGGAUUUCUGGGUGCGAGUGACUGGAGCUGAACCGUAUUUCGGUGUAUAGCGCCAAUCGGAUGAAAUUGGCACGCUAGGCUAAUACGGAGCCUACAAAGAUUCGGGUAGCUAGAAAAUAGAGCUGCUGAGCUCCUAGCAAAGUGAUUAUAACUCAAUCUCAAUAUACCUGACAAUGCUGUCCCAUCAGAUUUUUCCAACGACUUCUCAGCCUCGCACACUUUAAAUCCAAUAAAGACGAAGCCAAAGUCGUUUUAGAAAUAAUAGCGGAUCUGCAUCCUAACAUGGAGCAAAGCAAGAAAGAUCCGCACAUCUCUUCUUUUUCAUAGUGCCUACCUAAGACAUAAUAAUUGCAUUAUCGUGGACUUGGUUCAUCGCCCGUUCAUCAAGGUGUUUUUUUUUUUUUGGUUCGAUGAUGAUUGGAUUAUUGAAUUCAUGAGUGAACAAAAAAGGGGGAAUUUACUUAAAUCUGAAAAAAAAAACAAUUUUACUCUCAAUUAAUCGAUGCGCUAACUAAAACAAAACAAAAUCAUCAGAUAAAUUUCAUUCCUAAGAUCUGUGUGUUGUGGAGUAAAAACAGAGCGGAACAUUAUUUUGAUUUAUUUAAUACUCAUCGUGCUGUUGGCCGGGGUAUUAGAUCUUCAGUGGUAGAUCGCACGUCACUGCUGAUGACUCAAUAUAAGAUUCUCCCGGAUGCUCCGGUCCGUCAACAGGUAUAAUCGUUUUUUGAGACGCGUAAAAUAAACCCUGACUGCGGUGGGUGAAUAUCAUCGUAUCGACUUUUUGUCUGCAUUAGUCGAUUGAGGUGUUGUACUCAAUGUGAGAAACGAACAAGCCCCUUUUGAAAUUAGGAGUGAAACUCAUCAGCAUUUUCCUUUCAACUAAAGUGGUAAAAAUCUCUUCGUAUACUAGCGGCGACGAAAAAAAAUACUAGUUGACUUGAUUUUGACAUCUGGAAAAUUGGAAAGUCUGCGCGCAUCGAAACUCGGCUUCAUACAAAGCAAUAAUUUUCCAAUUUCUAUUGGGUCCUUUAAUUGCAACUCUACAUUUUUCUCCUCACUGAAGCGCCACAAAGGUACCGAUUCCAACAAUCCAUCGGUAAACAAAUCAGUUAUACGGUUCAUUACCACGACUUAUAAUAUAGUUUUCUGCCUUUAGAAGCUGAUUACAGCCCAAAGACAACUCUUUGAAAGGUGACUCAUAAUUAAUGAUGACGUCAGCGGUAUCAAGUAAAACGCACCGUUAUCAGAGGUGAAAAGACUGAUUGUCAGAAUGUUCUCAUACCGAUUCCAGCACUCCAUCGGUAAACAAAUCAGUUAUACGGUUCAUUACCACGACACAUAAUAUAGUUCUCUGCCUUUAGAAGCUGAUUACAGCCCAAAAGCAACUCCUCGA
rnacentral:lncRNA from 1 species